rnacentral:rRNA from 1 species
CCUACGGGAGGCAGCAGUGAGGAAUAUUGGUCAAUGGACGAGAGUCUGAACCAGCUAAGUAGCGUGAAGGAUGACUGCCCUAUGGGUUGUAAACUUCUUUUAUAUGGGAAUAAAAUGUUCCACGUGUGGGAAUUUGUAUGUACCAUAUGAAUAAGGAUCGGCUAACUCCGUGCCAGCAGCCGCGGUAAUACGGAGGAUACGAGCGUUAUCCGGAUUUAUUGGGUUUAAAGGGAGCGUAGGUGGAUUGUUAAGUCAGUUGUGAAAGUCUGCGGCUCAACCGUAGAAUUGCAGUUGAGACUGGCAGGCUUGAGUACAGUAGAGGUGGGCGGAAUUCGUGGUGUAGCAGUGAAAUGCUUAGAUAUGACGAAGAACUCCGAUUGCGAAGGCAGUUCACUGGACUGCAACUGACACUGAGGCUCGAAAGUGUGGGUAUCAAACAGGAUUAGAUACCCGAGUAGUC